rnacentral:rRNA from 1 species
CCUACGGGUGGCAGCAGUGGGGAAUAUUGGACAAUGGGGGAAACUCUGAUCCAGCGAAGCAGCGUGAGUGAAGAAGUAUUUCGGUACGUAAAGCUCUAUUAGCAGGAAAGAAAAUGACGGUACGUGACUAAGAAGCUCUGGCUAACUCCGUGCCAGCAGCCGCGGUAAUACGGAGGGGGCAAGCGUUAUCCGGAUUUACUGGGUGUAAAGGGAGCGUAGACGGCAGCGCAAGUCUGGAGUGAAAUGCCGCGGCCCAACCCCGGAACUGCAGUGGAAACUGUGAAGCUGGAGUGCAGGAGAGGUAGGCGGAAUUCCUGGUGUAGCGGUGAAAUGCGUAGAUAUCAGGAGGAACACCGGCGGCGAAGGCGGCUUACUGGACUGUAACUGACGUUGAGGCUCGAAGGCGUGGGGAUCAAACAGGAUUAGAUACCCUUGUAGUC